rnacentral:rRNA from 1 species
GAUGAACGCUGGCGGCGUGCCUAAUACAUGCAAGUCGAGCGAACAGACGAGGAGCUUGCUCCUCUGACGUUAGCGGCGGACGGGUGAGUAACACGUGGAUAACCUACCUAUAAGACUGGGAUAACUUCGGGAAACCGGAGCUAAUACCGGAUAAUAUAUUGAACCGCAGGGUUCAAUAGUGAAAGACGGUUUUGCUGUCACUUAUAGAUGGAUCCGCGCCGCAUUAGCUAGUUGGUAAGGUAACGGCUUACCAAGGCAAGGAUGCGUAACCGACCUGAGAGGGUGAUCGGCCACCUUGGAAGUGAGCCGCGGUCCAGACUCCUACGGGAGGCAGCAGUAGGGAAUCUUCCGCAAUGGGCGAAAGCCUGACGGAGCAACGCCGCGUGAGUGAUGAAGGUCUUCGGAUCGUAAAACUCUGUUAUUAGGGAAGAACAAAUGUGUAAGUAACUAUGCACGUCUUGACGGUACCUAAUCAGAAAGCCACGGCUAACUACGUG